rnacentral:lncRNA from 1 species
CUGGCCGUGCACAGCCAGCAGGGUGGCUUUUUCAUCAAAUAGAUUCAAGAGCAACCUGUACUUCUGCAUCCCAAAAGGCUCCAGAUGUGACCAGCCACUGCAAAAUGAGAGCGGCAGGAGAAGGAAGACCCUCGUGACCACGCGUCAGAAGCAGAAAAGCUGAGGAAGCUGCAGUGCCAGCGCAGAAGAUGUGGGAAGAAAUAUCUACAAACAUUGGAGAUUUCCAUUCGCUUCUUUCUGACCCUUGUAGUUUCUUGACCCUAUAGUUCUGAAUCUGAGCUUGGGCCUCGCCUAGGAAGAGCCUCUGCAAACAAAGCCAAGGGUUUGCAGGCCUGCUGUCCCCUUCUUGAGCACUGGGGAGCCCUUGAGUACCGUGGAGGGAGUGAGGCUCCCGAUGGUUGGCACCAGCCGCCUGAUGUGGC